GGAAUCUGCCUGGUAGUGGGGGAUAACGUCCGGAAACGGGCGCUAAUACCGCAUACGUCCUGAGGGAGAAAGUGGGGGAUCUUCGGACCUCACGCUAUCAGAUGAGCCUAGGUCGGAUUAGCUAGUUGGUGGGGUAAAGGCCUACCAAGGCGACGAUCCGUAACUGGUCUGAGAGGAUGAUCAGUCACACUGGAACUGAGACACGGUCCAGACUCCUACGGGAGGCAGCAGUGGGGAAUAUUGGACAAUGGGCGAAAGCCUGAUCCAGCCAUGCCGCGUGUGUGAAGAAGGUCUUCGGAUUGUAAAGCACUUUAAGUUGGGAGGAAGGGCAGUAAGUUAAUACCUUGCUGUUUUGACGUUACCAACAGAAUAAGCACCGGCUAACUUCGUGCCAGCAGCCGCGGUAAUACGAAGGGUGCAAGCGUUAAUCGGAAUUACUGGGCGUAAAGCGCGCGUAGGUGGUUCAGCAAGUUGGAUGUGAAAUCCCCGGGCUCAACCUGGGAACUGCAUCCAAAACUACUGAGCUAGAGUACGGUAGAGGGUGGUGGAAUUUCCUGUGUAGCGGUGAAAU
rnacentral:rRNA from 1 species